CGGCCGCGGUAUCCUGACCGUGCAAAGGUAGCAUAAUCACUUGUUCCUUAAUUAGGGACUAGAAUGAAUGGCUAAACGAGGGUUCAACUGUCUCUUACUUUCAANUCAGUGAAAUUGACCUUCCAGUGAAGAGGCUGGAAUGUCACAAUAAGACGAGAAGACCCUGUGGAGCUUCAAUUUACUAGCCUAACUUAUUCAUAACAACCUAAUGGACUAGCACAAAAUAAGUAUAGGCUAAAAAAUUUCGGUUGGGGUGACCUCGGAGUAUAAAAAAUCCUCCGAACGAUUUUAACCUAGACUCACAAGUUAAAGUAACACUAAUAUCCAAUUGACCCAAUUAUUGAUCAACGGACCAAGUUACCCCAGGGAUAACAGCGCAAUCCUAUUUAAGAGUUCAUAUCGACAAUUAGGGUUUACGACCUCGAUGUUGGAUCAGGACAUCCCAAUGGUGCA
rnacentral:rRNA from 1 species